rnacentral:rRNA from 1 species
GACGAACGCUGGCGGCGUGCUUAACACAUGCAAGUCGAACGGAAAGGCCCUGCUUUUGUGGGGUGCUCGAGUGGCGAACGGGUGAGUAACACGUGAGUAACCUGCCCUUGACUUUGGGAUAACUUCAGGAAACUGGGGCUAAUACCGGAUAGGAGCUCCUGCUGCAUGGUGGGGGUUGGAAAGUUUCGGCGGUUGGGGAUGGACUCGCGGCUUAUCAGCUUGUUGGUGGGGUAGUGGCUUACCAAGGCUUUGACGGGUAGCCGGCAUGAGAGGGUGACCGGCGACAUUGGGACUGAGAUACGGACCAGACGCCUACGGGAGGCAGCAGUGGGGAAUAUUGCACAAUGGGCGGAAGCCUGAUGCAGCAACGCCGCGUGCGGGAUGACGGCCUACGGGUUGUAAACCGCUUUCGCCUGUGACGAAGCGGGAGUGACGGUAAUGGGUAAAGAAGCACCGGCUAACUACGUG